rnacentral:rRNA from 1 species
GGGGGAUAACAUUUGGAAACAGAUGCUAAUACCGCAUAAAUCCAAGAACCGCAUGGUUCUUGGCUGAAAGAUGGCGUAAGCUAUCGCUUUUGGAUGGACCCGCGGCGUAUUAGCUAGUUGGUGAGGUAACGGCUCACCAAGGCAAUGAUACGUAGCCGAACUGAGAGGUUGAUCGGCCACAUUGGGACUGAGACACGGCCCAAACUCCUACGGGAGGCAGCAGUAGGGAAUCUUCCACAAUGGACGCAAGUCUGAUGGAGCAACGCCGCGUGAGUGAAGAAGGCUUUCGGGUCGUAAAACUCUGUUGUUGGAGAAGAAUGGUCGGCAGAGUAACUGUUGUCGGCGUGACGGUAUCCAACCAGAAAGCCACGGCUAACUACGUGCCAGCAGCCGCGGUAAUACGUAGGUGGCAAGCGUUAUCCGGAUUUAUUGGGCGUAAAGCGAGCGCAGGCGGUUUUUUAAGUCUGAUGUGAAAGCCCUCGGCUUAACCGAGGAAGUGCAUCGGAAACUGGGAAACUUGAGUGCAGAAGAGGACAGUGGAACUCCAUGUGUAGCGGUGAAAUGCGUAGAUAUAUGGAAGAACACCAGUGGCGAAGGCGGCUGUCUGGUCUGUAACUGACGCUGAGGCUCGAAAGCAUGGGUAGCGAACAGGAUUAGAUACCCUGGUAGUCCAUGCCGUAAACGAUGAAUGCUAGGUGUUGGAGGGUUUCCGCCCUUCAGUGCCGCAGCUAACGCAUUAAGCAUUCCGCCUGGGGAGUACGACCGCAAGGUUGAAACUCAA